GAUGAAGAACGUAGCGAAAUGCGAUAAGUAAUGUGAAUUGCAGAAUUCAGUGAAUCAUCGAAUCUUUGAACGCACAUUGCGCCCAUUAGUAUUUUAGUGGGCAUGCCUGUUCGAGCGUCAUUAAGUCCACUUAAGCCCUGCUUAGUGUUGGGAGACUGCUCCAGCGGUGCUACCCUGUAGCUACCCUGCAGCUCCUCAAAGACAGCGGCGGAGUUGUGGUAUCCUCUGAGCUUAGUAACUUGUUCUAGCUUUCGAGUACACCACUUCCCCUGCCGUAAAACCCUUAAUUUUUAAUGGUUGACCUCGGAUCAGGUAGGAAUACCCGCUGAACUUAAGCAUAUCAAUAAGCGGAGGA
rnacentral:misc_RNA from 1 species